rnacentral:rRNA from 1 species
GACGAACGCUGGCGGCGUGCUUAACACAUGCAAGUCGAACGGAAAGGCCCUGCUUUUGUGGGGUGCUCGAGUGGCGAACGGGUGAGUAACACGUGAGUAACCUGCCCUUGACUUUGGGAUAACUUCAGGAAACUGGGGCUAAUACCGGAUAGGAGCUCCUGCUGCAUGGUGGGGGUUGGAAAGUUUCGGCGGUUGGGGAUGGACUCGCGGCUUAUCAGCUUGUUGGUGGGGUAGUGGCUUACCAAGGCUUUGACGGGUAGCCGGCCUGAGAGGGUGACCGGCCACAUUGGGACUGAGAUACGGCCCAGACUCCUACGGGAGGCAGCAGUGGGGAGUAUUGCACAGUGGGCGGAAGCCUGAUGCAGCAACGCCGCGUGCGGGAUGACGGCCUUCGGGUUGUAAACCGCUUUCGCCUGUGACGAGGCGUGAGUGACGGUAAUGGGUAAAGAAGCACCGGCUAACUACGUG